GUACACGCUGUGACUAGCAUAUCAAUAAGCGGAGGAAAAGAAACUAACAAGGAUUCCCCUAGUAACGGCGAGUGAAGCGGGAAGAGCUCAAAUUUGAAAUCUUAAAGGGUUUCCCUUUACGAAUUGUAGUUUAAAGAAGUGUUUUCUGUUGAGGUUUUGGUAAAAGUUCUUUGGAAUAGGACAUCAUAGAGGGUGAGAAUCCCGUAUUUGACCUUUACUUUCAACUUUGUGAUACACUUUCAAAGAGUCGGAUUGUUUGGGAAUGCAGUCCAAAAUGGGUGGUAAAUUUCAUCUAAAGCUAAAUAUUGGCGAGAGACCGAUAGCGAACAAGUACCGUGAGGGAAAGAUGAAAAGAACUUUGAAAAGAGAGUUAAACAGUACGUGAAAUUGUCAAAAGGAAGCGUUUGACACCAGUGUUGUUUUUCUGAAAAUCAAUUAAAGAACUGUUUAUGCUAAGUUGUUUAGACUUUAUCAGCUAACUGUUUAGUUUUGAGCUUUUCUUUAAUGCACUUUUCAGUUAACAAGUCAACAUCAAUUUCUUUUGCUGUAAUAAAGCUUGAGGAAGGUGGCUUGAGAUUCGUCUUAAGUGUUUAUAGCCUCUUGCCUAUGCAGUCGGAGAGAUUGAGGUCUGCAGCGUAGAUCCUUCGGGGCUAAAUGCAUUUGUGCUAAGUUAUAGCAUUUCAUAGACAACUUGUUGACUAUGAUUUGUCUUGUAGCUUACUCGCUUAUGUUAUUUUACCUACGCUUAGGAUGUUGACAGCAGUAUAGACUGU
rnacentral:rRNA from 1 species